ensembl:misc_RNA Y_RNA Y RNA
UGUUAGUACAAGUGCAAUGAUGUUUAGAACUAACUGAUCACAACCAGUUACAGAUUUAUUCUUUUUCUACUCCCACUGCUUAUUUGACUAGCCUUGU